rnacentral:rRNA from 1 species
AGGACGAACGCUGGCGGCGUGCUUAACACAUGCAAGUCGAGCGGAAAGGCCCUUCGGGGUACUCGAGCGGCGAACGGGUGAGUAACACGUGGGCAACCCACCCUUGGUACCGGGAUAGCCCGGGGAAACCCGGAUUAAUACCGGAUGGCCCAGCAGCCUUUCGGGGCGGCUGGAAAAGGGAGCUUCGGCCUCCGACCAAGGACGGGCCCGCGGCGGAUUAGCUUGUUGGUGGGGUAACGGCCUACCAAGGCGACGAUCCGUAGCUGGUCUGAGAGGACGAUCAGCCACACUGGGACUGAGACACGGCCCAGACUCCUACGGGAGGCAGCAGUGGGGAAUCUUGCGCAAUGGGCGAAAGCCUGACGCAGCGACGCCGCGUGGGGGAAGAAGGCUUUCGGGUUGUAAACCCCUUUCAGGAAGGACGAAGCUCCUCGGGUGAAUAGCCCAGAGGGUGACGGUACUUCCGAGAACGAAGCCCCGGCUAACUACGUGCCAGCAGCCGC